UACGGGGGGGGCAAGCGUUGUUCGGAAUUACUGGGCGUAAAGGGCUCGUAGGUGGCCAACUAAGUCAGACGUGAAAUCCCUCGGCUUAACCGGGGAACUGCGUCUGAUACUGGAUGGCUUGAGUUCGGGAGAGGGAUGCGGAAUUCCAGGUGUAGCGGUGAAAUGCGUAGAUAUCUGGAGGAACACCGGUGGCGAAGGCGGCAUCCUGGACCGACACUGACGCUGAGGCGCGAAAGCGUGGGGAGCAAACAGG
rnacentral:rRNA from 1 species